AUACAAGCAUGGAAGGGAAUACAGUAGUGCUUAGCAAUUUGUUUUCAGAGAGCUGAUGGCCGGUGUGAAUCAGUACAAAUGUAAGCAUGAAUUACACUCCUGGAGUUUCUUUUUCGUAGUAAAGGCAGCAGUCUUUAUGAAGGGGAAGACGGCCAACAAAGUCGUUAUUAAAAUGAAGUGGUGAGCGUAUGCUCGCAACUAGGGUGGUACCGCGAAGUCUAUUCGUCCCUACU
rnacentral:ncRNA from 1 species